rnacentral:rRNA from 1 species
UUUAUAAUUAUUAUAUAAAUUAUUUUUUUUUUUAUUAUUUAGUAAUUUAAAUGAAUUAUUUUUAUUUAGUAUCUGAUUAGGAUUAAUUUAUUUAUUUAAGAAAAAUUUUUAGUACCUUUUGUAUCAGGGUUAAUUAAUUUUUUUUUAUAUAAUUUUUUCCCGAAUUUAAAAUAUUUAAUUUACUAUAAUUUUUAAUGUCUCAUAAUUAUGUUUAAUAGUAAUUUAAUAAUUAUAAGUUAAUUGUUUUUUUUUAUAUCUGGUUUACUUGGAUUUAAAUUUAAUUUAUGAACUUUUAUUUUUUAUUAUUUAUAUUUUAAGUUCUUAUUUUAUUUAGGAUAAGCUUUAUAUUUAAUUAUAAUUUAAUUUUUUUUAUUUUUAUUAUUUUUAAUAUCAUUAUUUUAGUUCUUUAUUGAUUUAAUUAUUUUAAUAGUAUUUAUUUUUAUUUAAUAUUUUACAUGUAUUUUUGACCUAAUUUUUUUUUAUAUAUAUUAUGAUUAAAUUAGUAUAAUUUAUAUAUUAUUUUUAUGAAUUCGACAAAUAUUUAUUCUUAACUGUUUAUCAAAAACAUUUCUUUUAGUUUUUUUUAAAAGUAAGUUCUGCCCUAUGAUUAAUUUUAAAUGGCUGCGGUAUUUUGACCGUACAAAGGUAGCAUAAUAAAUUGUUUCUUAAUUAGGAACUAGAAUGAAAGAUCAAAUAAAGGAUUAUUUUUAUUUUUAUAAAUUUUAAAAUUUUAUUUUUUAGUAAAAAAUCUAAAUUUUUUUCCUGGGACGAAAAGACCCUAAAGAACUUUAUUAAUUGAUUUUUAUAUUUUUUUAUUUAUAUUUAUCUAAAUUUUAAUUAUUUUUGUUGGGGUGACAAAUAAAUUUAUUCUUUAUUUAAAUUAUUCAUUUUUUUAUGUUUAUUUUGAUCCAAUUUUUGAUUAUAAGAUUAAGUUACCUUAGGGAUAACAGCGUAAUUUUUAUGGUAAGUUCAUAUUUAUAUAUAAGUUUGCGACCUCGAUGUUGAAUUAGGAUAAAAUUAUUAUGCAGUAUUUUUAAAUUUAAGUCUGUUCGACUUUUAAUUUCCUACAUGAUUUGAGUUCAAACCGGUGUGAGCCAGGUUGGUUUCUAUCUUGGAAUAAUUAAUUUUUUUUAGUACGAAAGGACCAUAAAGAUCAAUUUUUAUUGUU